AGUUGCUGAUGGAGUUGCUGGAGAGAAAGAGUUCUUCAGUUCAGGAUCUCCCUGGAGCUGCUCCUUACUCUCUCCAUCUUACUGUGUGCUAUGAAGGCCUGAUGCUGCCAGGGACCACGCACCUUUUGGGAUGCUUGGCACUGAAAUGCCCAUGAAGCCCUUACUGUUAAUCAAGAGAGGGAGAUUAGAGGAGAUCAGAACUACCAGCCUGAAGAGCGCUUUGCAUUUGACUACACCUUUCUAUCAGCAUAUGUUUUUCUUCUGAUAUUUCUGCAGGGAGUUCUCCAGGUAAAGGAAGAGCUGCUUCAACUCAGAGACACAACGACCAAACCACUUGGCAGUGGGCACAAAAAACGGAGACUGAACACUAAGAAACUGGUAAGAAAUGCAGGGCUGACGUGGAUGAUGGAUGUGAUUCCAGAAGGGAAGCGCAUGGGAAGGUCCUUGCAGCGAGAUUCCCCAGGAGGUGGCAGGAAGAUGUUAGGAUGCAGAGAGUGGAGCCAAUGCAAUCGGAGAGGAUAUUAAAUGCACAAGGUUCAAUUUUUGGGAUCCUCUCACAGCCUGGCAAGACUCCUGCAUUUUCAAAUGCUCACAUAGCUGCACUUGCUGCUUCACUGAAAAUAAUAGUACUGUGCUAAACAGCAUCAUCGUGGGAUCACUUAUGGGAUUUAGUUGUGUUUAAGGGGUGAAGGCGAGGAUACUGCAAAGUGAAAUCCUCCAGUGCAAAGAAAAUAAGGUACACUUCCUAUAAACCCCUGAAAUAGCUGCAUUUCAUGUAAGUGGUUGAAAUGUUUGUGGGGAAAAAAAUGUACUAGAAGAUUUUUAUUUACUCCCUAGGUUAUAAUGACUUGGUAGGAUUUGUCAGGAUUGAUGGAUAAAGGGGCAGACUUUGUGGCUACUUAAUCUCCAGAGCUGAAAAUAUUUCUUCAUUUGAAUGAGGAAACUUGUUAUGCUGCUGGGUGGUUAUUCAUUGUAUGGAUUAUUGUUUAGAGCUAGAGUGUGGUCUUUUAUUUUUGAUAUUU
ensembl:lncRNA